GGUGGACUUUCAGCCUGCUGUGCCUGCAGCUCCCUCUUACUCCCUGUGGAGCUGGGAGCUGACCUGACCAGUGGUUCUUCUGGGUCUUCAAGCACUCUUAGUUCAUGCCUGUGGCCCAGUCAAGGGUCUCUGUGGGUCCUGGUCUCCGGUCUCUCUUGCCCCUCUGAGUCCACGCCCUGCAGGGAGGUUACGCUUUGUGAUGUAAUUCAGCACCUGUGUCCUGUCCCAGUGAGGACAUCUCCCACUUGCCAGCCUCGGGCCUUUGGUCUAAACAGCUCUCACAGGGGCACAGAGAGCAGGCAAAUGCCUCCUGCUCUGCCCUCAGAGUCAGGGGCCUGCAAUGGUUAAUACUGAGUGUCAACUUGAUUUGAUAGAAGGACACCAAGUAUUGAUCCUGGGUGUGUCUGUGAAGAAACUAUCAACAGAGUAAACAGACAACCUACAGAAUGGGAGAAAAUAUGUGCAAACUAUGCAUCUGACAAAGGUCUAAUAUCCAGAAUCUAUAAAGAACUUUGUUUAAAUUUACAAGAGAAAAACAAAUGACCCCUUCAGGCUCAGACACCACCACCAACUUCGGUCGUGUCUCUAGCAAUGAUUCCA
rnacentral:lncRNA from 1 species